rnacentral:pre_miRNA from 1 species
AUUCUACUCCCUCCAUUCCACAAUACAUGCCUUCUAUUUGUCAAAAUAUAGAUGUAUCUAGACAUGUUUCAGUAUAUAGGUACAUCCACUUUUGGACAAAUGGAAGUCAAGUAUUUUGGAACGGAGGGAGUACACA